UGAGGGUGCAAGCGUUAAUCGGAAUUACUGGGCGUAAAGCGCACGCAGGCGGUCUGUCAAGUCGGAUGUGAAAUCCCCGGGCUUAACCUGGGAACUGCAUUCGAAACUGGCAGGCUAGAGUCUUGUAGAGGGGGGUAGAAUUCCAGGUGUAGCGGUGAAAUGCGUAGAGAUCUGGAGGAAUACCGGUGGCGAAGGCGGCCCCCUGGACAAAGACUGACGCUCAGGUGCGAAAGCGUGGGGAGCAAACAGGAUUAGAUACCCUGGUAGUCCACGCCGUAAACGAUGUCGACUUGGAGGUUGUUCCCUUGAGGAGUGGCUUCCGGAGCUAACGCGUUAAGUCGACCGCCUGGGGAGUACGGCCGCAAGGUUAAAACUCAAAUGAAUUGACGGGGGCCCGCACAAGCGGUGGAGCAUGUGGUUUAAUUCGAUGCAACGCGAAGAACCUUACCUACUCUUGACAUCCAGAGAACUUAGCAGAGAUGCUUUGGUGCCUUCGGGAACUCUGAGACAGGUGC
rnacentral:rRNA from 1 species